rnacentral:rRNA from 1 species
GACGAACGCUGGCGGCGUGCCUAAUACAUGCAAGUAGAACGCUGAAGAGAGGAGCUUGCUCUUCUUGGAUGAGUUGCGAACGGGUGAGUAACGCGUAGGUAACCUGCCUUGUAGCGGGGGAUAACUAUUGGAAACGAUAGCUAAUACCGCAUAACAAUGGAUGACACAUGUCAUUUAUUUGAAAGGGGCAAUUGUUCCACUACAAGAUGGACCUGCGUUGUAUUAGCUAGUAGGUGAGGUAAUGGCUCACCUAGGCGACGAUACAUAGCCGACCUGAGAGGGUGAUCGGCCACACUGGGACUGAGACACGGCCCAGACUCCUACGGGAGGCAGCAGUAGGGAAUCUUCGGCAAUGGGGGCAACCCUGACCGAGCAACGCCGCGUGAGUGAAGAAGGGUUUCGGAUCAUAAAGCUCUGUUGUAAGUCAAGAACGGGUGUGAGAGUGGAAAGUUCACACUGUGACGGUAGCUUACCAGAAAGGGACGGCUAACUACGUG